rnacentral:rRNA from 1 species
AUUGAACGCUGGCGGCAGGCCUAACACAUGCAAGUCGAGCGGAGCGGCGGACGGGUGAGUAAUGCCUAGGAAUCUGCCUGGUAGUGGGGGAUAACGUCCGGAAACGGGCGCUAAUACCGCAUACUAUCAGAUGAGCCUAUGUCGGAUUAGCUAGUUGGUGGGGUAAAGGCCUACCAAGGCGACGAACCGUAACUGGUCUGAGAGGAUGAUCAGUCACACUGAAACUUAGACACGGUCCAUAAUCCUACGGGAGGCAGCAGUGGGGAAUAUGGGAAAAUUGGCGAAAGCCUGAUCCAGCCAUGCCGCAUGUGGGAAGAAGGUCUUCGGAUUGUAAAGCACUUUAAGUUGGGGGGCGAUACCAACAGAAGAAGCACCGGAUAACUUCGUGCCAGCAGCCGCGGUAAUAC